rnacentral:rRNA from 1 species
UACGGAGGGGGCUAGCGUUGUUCGGAAUUACUGGGCGUAAAGCGCACGUAGGCGGAUUGUUAAGUCAGAGGUGAAAUCCCGGAGCUCAACUUCGGAACUGCCUUUGAUACUGGCAAUCUAGAGUCCGGAAGAGGUUAGUGGAAUUCCCAGUGUAGAGGUGAAAUUCGUAGAUAUUGGGAAGAACACCAGUGGCGAAGGCGGCUAACUGGUCCGGUACUGACGCUGAGGUGCGAAAGCGUGGGGAGCAAACGGG